CUCCUUUAGCCCUAUGUUCUAUUUUCCUGUAGGAAAGAGAAAACCCACACAGAGAGGGAAACCAGAGAAAAGUAUACACCUUUUGCAGUAUAGAUCUGACCGCUAAAGGAAAGGUUAUGACCUCAGCAAAGGCCUAGCAGAAGGUGCAUAAGUUAAUUUAUUACACACCUUUGGCAUAUAUAUUGAAGAAUGGCAGAAGGAAUAUCAAGCUUUUGGGGUCCAGUAACAUCUGCUGAUUGGUGUGAGAAAAA
rnacentral:misc_RNA from 1 species